rnacentral:pre_miRNA from 1 species
CAGUGCUGCAGUGUCAGAGGGCAGCACCCUUGGAGUAGCACAACAUGACCUGGGCUCUGCUUUUGCUCAUGACCCUCACGCAGGGCACCGGUGA